AGUAACGCGUGAGCAACCUGCCUAUGACAGUGGGAUAGCCUCGGGAAACCGGGAUUAAUACCGCAUAAAAUCGUAGAAACACAUGUUUCAACGGUCAAAGAUUUAUCGGUCAUAGAUGGGCUCGCGUCUGAUUAGCUAGUUGGUGAGAUAACAGCCCACCAAGGCGACGAUCAGUAGCCGGUCUGAGAGGAUGAACGCCACAUUGGAACUGAGACACGGUCCAA
rnacentral:rRNA from 1 species